UAACCAGUAUCCAGCUGAGAAGCUCGAUGAACAUGGCCAAUGCCAUUCUCUGGAAUCAAGCACAGAUCAGAGAAAUCACUUCACACUCAGAGAAAGGAAACGAGAGAAAAAGCUGAUUGUCCAUGCUUCCAUGGAUAACAGGCUGUGAAAGGCCGCACCAGCAUCAACCCUGCAUGUUUCUCUGGGCCAGGGACCAGCAGUUCAUCCAAAGGGAGCAGAGCUGCUGGGCUAGAGCUGAAUCUUGUUUUUCCGGAAACAGAGGGGGCUUUUGCUCACAGAUUUGCCAUUGGACCCAACUUCUAAUGAAUGGAAAUUUUGCAAAUGUUGGAAUCUGGAAUUGCCCCAUCUUUCUGCUCCUUUUAAAGAUGAAAGAAUCUUUUUUUUAAUGAAAUGCAUUGAAACAGUGUUAAAAUAAUUUAAAUUGGUGUUGUAUGGGGUUUUUUUGUUUGUUUCA